rfam:Hypholoma sublateritium FD-334 SS-4 unplaced genomic scaffold scaffold_132, whole genome shotgun sequence.
GGCGCUGUAGUGUAGCGGUUAUCACUCAAGAUUCUGAUCCUCCAUGAUAGUUUGGACUUUGCAUUCUUGUAACCCCGGUUCGAUUCCGGGCAGUGCCU